rnacentral:rRNA from 1 species
AAACGACUCUCGGCAACGGAUAUCUCGGCUCACGCAAGCGAAAUGCGAUACUUGGUGUGAAUUGCAGAAUCCCGUGAACCAUCGAGUUUUUGAACGCAAGUUGCGCCCGAUGCCAUCCGGUUGAGGGCACGCCUGCCUGGGCGUCACGCA